CUGUGCGCGGGGGCCUCUGUGGCGCAUGUGGACGGGCGAGCCAACGCACCGCAGGAAUGUGUGCAGAUCAGAGGCAAACGCACAUGCUCGGGCUUUUACUAUGUAUGUGGUGCUCGAUCGUUUUCAAGUCCUCGGGCAGUGUAGUAGAGACUACGGGGUCACUUUGCUGUGCCGCUGUCGGAAACCUAUAAUUGGAAACGAGCCAGUGACGCGCUGAAAAUAACCAGGUUAGCACUUAGUACCGGUCCAUUUUGGGGAGGGCCCAACACGAGGGCGCAGCACCAUAUAUCAGCUCUUUCCAGCUGUUUGGGAAUAUCCUGCUCUAGAAAAGCUGCAGCACGGCGGCAGCAGCAGCGGCGCAAGCAGGGUGCUUUUUCUCCCGCCCCCCCUUCCAGAAUGGAUAUUGGGUGAGUGACUGGGUGCGCACGGGGGGAUCUCUUGUUGGGAAACGCAGAAGCUCUCUCUCCCUCUCUCUUUUUUUUCUUGAAGGGAGGGAGGGCGGGAGGGGAGGUGGGAGACUGGCACAAGGCUCGACACUGUUGCGUCUGCAUGUUUUUUCUCCUUGGACAGACAGGAAAAAAGAUGGACCAGGGGGACUGUCCGACUUAUUCCACAAGAGAGUUCCCGGCCCCCACCCCCCCAAAAGGAUAAUCUUGCUCAAUUUGGGAUGCGUGCAACACCAAGUGAUCACAUAUUACUUGGGCGGCGGUGGUGCUGGUGGUGGAUGGACGGUGAAGUUCAACUUCGCAUGCAGACGCGAUCUCCUCCAGGCAGCCAGACAAACCCACCAGACAGUCGGCGCGUAUUACGUGAAGAGGUCUCCAUAUGGGCUACGGGAUGCGAACACCUGCCCGGUACGCAGGUAACUACAAUCCGACGGUGUCGCCUACUUCUUCGAACACCGACAGGCAGCAGAUCAGCAGUGAUUCUACACCCCACCAUUUGAGAACCACUGGUUUAAGCCAGCUUUCUUCUGAUUGGCUUCUGCUCGCAAACAAAAAGUCUGAACAGCAGGAAGUGAAGAAGCAUUUGAACCAGAAAACGGGUAAUUACAUCAGACUUGUUCUACUUUGCAAUAAAUAAAUAAAAGAAUUAAAAAAAACAUUUUUAACUGUUCUUUGCUGUUUUACCCACACAUGAGUUAUGUUCAGAAACCACUUUUUAGUACUUUGAAAAAGAUACUUGAGAACAGCCCCCAUAUUUUAAAGACAUACUCUGUAUUCUGAGAUAAGCCUCGUGACCUUUGAUAUGUGAUUGAUGUGUUUGGACGUGUUUUGUUUACCGUAGCACACAGAAAUUAUACUUUGCUGCCUAGCAGGCAUUUUCAUCUAAGAGUUACGUGAGUUUCUCUUACUUCAUAUUGCUACUGGGUCCACUUUCUGUUUAUCAGGGAACAUUUCCUCACAUAAAUCACCCACUCUUUAAAAAUAAAUCCCCCAAAACAUACCUUUUCUUCUAUUUUGACUGUAUGUGUAUUAAACAUAUGGGAUAUAAAUUUUAAAUAUAUACAUUUUUGACUUUGUCUAUUACAUAUUUUACAGAGCUAAGCUGGCUACUAACCCUUGUUUUAUAAUACUGCUACUUAAACUAAAUAUAUCGAUUUCAGAAUUAAGUAUAGCAACUUUUAAUUGAACUCCUUGUCAGAUAUUAUUAUUAAUCUUUUAAUUUGUUUUUUAUGUACUUUUAGAAAGUUGAAUAGAAAGAGCCAGAGAUAGAAUUUAAGAUUUAAGAGGUGCCACAUAGUUGCCUAUUCUCUAAGGCAGAGCUGGCAGGCCUGCAGCAGCUCUAACAGUGGCCUUGCUGCCAUUAAUAAUGGGAAAAUGGCAAACACUGUACAAAUCAACUGGCAUGAAUCUCUGUGCCUCUCUACAGCACAGUCUCUCUGAACCUAUUGUGGAGCUAACAUGGCUGCCAGCAAUAAGACAUGAUGACAUUAUCCUGCUUUCUUGCUGGAGGCCUCCCAGUAAGGAGUUCUUGUGAACACAUCUUCCGAGUGACAUGGAGACGGGCCUGCAGCCACCAGCGGAGCUGAGCCGAGCCGCUUUAGAGCCCUGCUGAGACCUGCCAGGCCCACAGCUUUCCCUGCCAGGGGCCUCGCUCGAAGUCAAAGUGAGUUACAACCCAUGCUCUUGACACACACAUGCUAAUGCAGAAGCAAGCACCCAGUAUGUAGGCAUGCAGGCGCACGCACAGGUGAAAUACAUAGAGGAAUAUAUGUGUGCAACCAUAAACCAGUACAGAGGCAAAGAAAUAACUCUGUUCGUGCAAAUAUAUGCACACUCAUACAUAAUGAUACCCCUCUAAAAGAGAUUGUAGCUCCACUGGACCACUAGAUAGACUACAUUUACAUACAUGCAAUCACACACAAUCAUAGAUUUGGUAUUUGCAGCCUAAAUAAAUGAUAUCCCUGCUUCUACCCAUGCAGUAAAGUGAGCAUGUCGUCCAACAGGGGCUCUAUCUGUCAGGGGUAGUUUGAGAUCAAGGUCCAGCAGCUGCUGGAUCAGCUGGAUUGAUCUGUCUGGGUAAACAUGAGGACUGAAAAUGAGCGUGUUUGUGAUUAAAGGCUUAACAGGAAGUGUGUGUGUGUGACAGUGAGAGAGAGAGGGAGCUUCAGUAUGCUGUUUAUACCCUGUACAAAAGAGAGCACUGUGUAUUACCUCCAUGCAUAUGUCAUAUACAUGUGUGUGUGUGUUAUAUUGUGCUUAUAUCCAGCUCCAUUUAAAAAAAAUGUUUGGAUACUGCUGGAGUCAAUUUAUAGCAACAUCAUCCUUAUCUUAUACUGGGCAUUACUGGUGCAGCCCCUUAGUUCAUCCUCCUUUCUUCUGAUUGGCUGCCCCUCGUUAAUAGAAGUCAGUGGGCGGGGGUUCUGUGCUCACAAGCCAGAGCUAUGUACCAUUAACUGGUAGCGACAGAUUGCUGCCCCUCACUGAGCCUGGUUCUGACAGGGGUUUCUUCCUGUUAAAUGGGAGUUUUUCCUUCCCACUGUUGCCAAAUGCUUGUUCAAAGGUUAAUGUUUGAAUAUUGGGAUUUUCUCUGUUUUCUGGCCUUUACUUUACAAUACAUCGUGCUUCGAGCCGACGAAUGUGAUAUGGCAAGUUAAUUUACGCAACUGAACUGAAUUAAGAAAACCUCUCAAGCCAUUGUAACACAUUUUUGACAGAAAAUCAGGAAACUCAUAUUGGCCCUGGUUAAUGUUUUUCAUCGUGACUCACCUAAAAAGAGACAGUCUUCCAGAAAAUGGUUACCAAAAGUAUUUUCCUAACCAUAAUCACGUAGUUUUGGUGCCUAAGCAUAACAAAACUGCAAGCGAAAUUAAAAAAACAACUUAAAGUUGUGACUCAAGUUGUGACUCAACCUUUUCUGAGUUGUCACCAGAUAUCCAAAAUUAUACUGCGAAUUAGUGGAGACAUCAACGCCCCCCCCUCCAAACAAAGCGAAAAACAUGGCACAAAUCAGAUAGGUGGAAUACUCAUGGCCAUUUUUUAGAUACUGAGCAAAUGGACGAGAAUUUACUUAAAAUGUGGUUGUAGCCACAUUAAUUAUCUUGCAAAGUGCCUUUAGAUACAGAAUAAAUGUGUCAGUCCCUCUGCUCAUUACAGCCAAGCCGUAUCUGAAAAGACCCUAUUAAGCUCUCACAUGAGGGCUGACCAACAGUUUCAUGCUGGCUAUAUAUGAAUGUAUCUCACAGCAAUAAUAUAUAGCGAGUGCAUGCGUAGCUAUAUGGUUUGUGUCUAAUCCCAGGAAUGUUGAUGUGGUCCAGAGUUUAAUAAAUGGAGGCGUGGGUGGGGAGUAAGAGUCCCCUGGAGCAGAGUUAAGGUCUUAAUGUACUAAAAAGCCUUGACCCAGACCAUAUACACCCACUCACAGGGACACAGCAUCUUCUCUCCAGUCCAGCACAUUCUUUCAUACUUUGGCUACGCAGCAAAGAAAUAUGCACUUGGACAUACACGGAGAUAUGCAAGCACAACAUGGACGAUAUGACCUUAAACAAUAAACAUGCGCAAAAUGUACCGAGUGGCUCAAACACACACACACACACACACACACACACACACACGAACACAUCCUUGUUGACUUGUGUUGGUCGUUAUUCAAUGAGGAGCACAUGACUUAAAUCGGGUGUGGUGCAUGACAUCUUAUCGAACAAAAGCGUCCCACAGAGAGAGCUGAUGGGGGAGACGAUCCCUCCCCGCUUGUCCUGUCUGUUGGGAGUCAUGAGGUCUCCAUCUCGUUUGCCACGCUGUGUCUCGUGGUUCAAAGUCCAUAAAAUGUUCAAGUUAAAAAAAAAAUCCCCUGCUUUUAAAACUUUCAGCUGCGGUGGUGUGUUGUCAAUAAAUCAGCUGCUUUCCCUGAGGAUAGCAACGUUAUCUCCGGGAGGGAGAGGAAGUGCAAAACACUGCAUGUUUUUCAAGAAUGAAGCCUUUGAAUUUCUUGUUGUGUCCUAUAAAUGUCUCACCUUGAGGGUCUGAUGUCUCGCAGUGAGAAUGGAGGGCUUGUAUUCUACACAUUCAACCCGUCGCUUCUACAUGCUUCUGCAGUCAUGCAGAAAUAAACUCAAGUAUGUUGAUCACAGAAGCUUUAUUGUGUUUUGUCUCAUUAACGAUCUCUUUUAAGUGUCUUGCUGAUAAACUUGUCAUUUAACUGUCAAAAUCAUGACGGCUACCUCCAUGUUAGAUCUUACAGGGAAUAUUUCUUCAUUUAAGAGAUAUGCCAGUUUCUCAAAUGCAUUGUAGCAUCGAACUUUUCUAACAUUAACCAGCGGAGCUGAAUAUUAGAAUGGAAAUAUCCAUAUCAGUUGGACCAGACAUUACCCAGGCAGCCUCCUUGUAGAAAGUAAAGUCCAAAUGAACACAUGUGUGAUUCACAGAGUGAGUUUCCAUCACGUCCUGCCUCCUGCGCAGUCUAUCCAGUCGCCACUCUUCGGCCAAACGUAAACUGCACAAUGCAUUUCAAGUGUCACUAUGCAUCUGUCACAUGUGAGAAAAGCCAACUGUACAAAGUGCAGACCUGAUUCUCUCAACAUUAUCUGGAAUUUAUGUGUAAAACUUGCUAUAGUCUCAUCAACCAAAGUUGCGCGUCACCAUAUAUUAGCUUCAGUGAUAAGAUUAUUUAUCACAACAAAUCUUUGCAACUGUUGCAACUGUUUUGGAGUCCAGUAAGGUUAAUACAGGGGAAAUACUGCGAGUUGCAUACAAAAGCAGGUUGUUCAAGUGCUUCUGUGAGUGUUAAAAUGGCUAAAAAAAAUCUGAAUUCCACAAUGACAAGAGAAGUGAAAAGAUGAUUCUCAAGCUUACUCCUGAACAUUCCCCUUCUCUUUCUAUCUAGCUGAAAAAAGCUUGAAAAGUGUGAGCAAACUGGUGAAAUCAAGCUGAGCAGAAAGGGGUAAACAGGACAUAUGUGUGCAUGUGUCUGUAUAAUCCCAUCACAAGAUAGUGUCGUUGAGAGCCAUUGCCCCGAGGCAGCUGGCCAUAGUCCGUCAAGGGAACUUUAAAUUAGAGUAAUGCUCACUAACACAAGGUUAGACAGUUCAUCUGCUGGAGAGAUAUGAAAAGGGGGGAUUGUCUGGUGCUGUGCUGAUGGCCCAGAGAAAAUAGAGUGAAGAAGUUUUGAAUCCCAGGCCUAUACGUGGACAUGGCUAAGUGUAGAUUGAAUUGAAGAACUGGAGGAUGAAUUGAGGCAGAUGCAGACAGCGUUGCAGAGACUGAGUCCUUUGAUAAUUGAUAAUGGCCUUGACAAAUGUAAGACAAUGUAAUAUUAAAAAAAGUGAAGUAAAAUAAAGUUUGUCAAAUGAUUUGUUUCUGGUUGUGUAAAAUGCUGAAUAAAGUUUGUUUAACACUAAAAUUAACUGUCUCUUUGUCCAUGUGCACAGAAUAUUUACUGUAUAACGUUUAAUUUAAAUGAUCAACAGUGUUAAUGUAUUAAAUGUCCCGACACGGCUGGGCACAGUUGCUUUCGGCAGACGAUACCCAAACAGGAGUAAACAGUGUAUUUUUUACGGACUACUUUAACCUGUGGAAUAAUACAAAUUUGGUGCUCUGACAUUGUACAUGUGGGACCAAUUAAAAAUAAACUACAGUGAAC
ensembl:lncRNA